UACGACUACAUAUCAGGCAUAUCAAUAAGCGGAGGAAAAGAAACUAACAAGGAUUCCCUUAGUAACGGCGAGUGAAGCGGGAAGAGCUCAAAUUUGAAAUCUUCAAGGUUUUACCUUGACGAAUUGUAGUUUAAAGAAGUGUUUUCUGUUGAAGUUUUGGUAAAAGUUCUUUGGAAUAGGACAUCAUAGAGGGUGAGAAUCCCGUAUUUGACCAUUAUUUUCAGCUGUGUGAUACACUUUCAAAGAGUCGGAUUGUUUGGGAAUGCAGUCCAAAAUGGGUGGUAAAUUUCAUCUAAAGCUAAAUAUUGGCGAGAGACCGAUAGCGAACAAGUACCGUGAGGGAAAGAUGAAAAGAACUUUGAAAAGAGAGUUAAACAGUACGUGAAAUUGUCAAAAGGGAAGCGUUUGACACCAGUGUUGUUUCUACGAAAAUCAAUUUAUGAUGGCUUGAUGCUAAGCUUUAAGACUUUAUCCGCUUGUUGUUUAGUUUUCUUGUCUUUGUGAAUGCACUUUUCGUGGAACAAGUCAACAUCAAUUUCUUUUGCUGUAAAAGGGUAAGAGGAAGGUGGCUUCGGCUUCGGUUGAAGUGUUUAUAGCCUUUUAUCUCUGCAGUCGGAGAGAUUGAGGUCUGCAGCGUAGACUCUUCGGGGUUAGAUACGUCGGUGCUAAGCCUAUAGCUUUUCAUAGACAACUUGUUGACUAUGUUUAGUCAUGUGGCUUACCCGCUGGCGCUAUUUUACCUACGCUUAGGAUGUUGAGCGCAUGUCUCUCUCU
rnacentral:rRNA from 1 species